UGGGGAAUAUUGGACAAUGGGCGCAAGCCUGAUCCAGCAAUGCCGCGUGAGUGAUGAAGGCCUUAGGGUUGUAAAGCUCUUUCGCACGCGACGAUGAUGACGGUAGCGUGAGAAGAAGCCCCGGCUAACUUCGUGCCAGCAGCCGCGGUAAUACGAAGGGGGCUAGCGUUGUUCGGAAUUACUGGGCGUAAAGGGCGCGUAGGCGGCCUGUUUAGUCAGAAGUGAAAGCCCCGGGCUCAACCUGGGAAUAGCUUUUGAUACUGGCAGGCUUGAGUUCCGGAGAGGAUGGUGGAAUUCCCAGUGUAGAGGUGAAAUUCGUAGAUAUUGGGAAGAACACCGGUGGCGAAGGCGGCCAUCUGGACGGACACUGACGCUGAGGCGCGAAAGCGUGGGGAGAAACAGGAUUAGAUACCCUGGUAGUCCACGCCGUAAACGAUGAAUGCUAGACGUCGGGGUGCAUGCACUUCGGUGUCGCCGCUAACGCAUUAAGCAUUCCGCCUGGGGAGUACGGCCGCAAGGUUAAAACUCAAAUG
rnacentral:rRNA from 1 species